AAUAACUAAAAAUUGUGCUGGGGUUGAGAGUAGGGUUAGUAACCAGACGUACAUCUCCUAAAUGAUGAUCAUAAAUGCCCCCAAAAAACAUAGCUUUUAGGACUAAUAAGAAUGCUCCUAAACCUAGAAUAAUUAAGUGAUGUCCUAAAAUUAAACUCAAUUGUUUAGGGUCAUUCCA
rnacentral:antisense_RNA from 1 species